rnacentral:lncRNA from 1 species
CCAGGAAGUUGUGGGGGCAGCAGCAGACGUGCGAGGUGAUUAAUAACAACAUAGAUAACUUCUGCUGAGGAAUUUCACAAGCUGAGCUUUAACAGGCAUUAACUCACUUAAUCCUCGCACCAAGUCUCAGAGAUUACAAAUUCAAAUGCCUAACUGGUCCAGGAAAACAACUGGAAAUGAGGGGAGAGAGCUGAGUGGAGAAUGUCAUGCACUGGUGGGCUUGUAUCUAUCCAAGAACAGAAGCCUUCCUGAGCUCUAGCUGACUGAUGCCAGAAAGAAGCUUCACUGAUGCAUUACAUUCGUUGCUAUGCAAUGUCAAGGAAUACUAUCAUUAUGAUUAGUACCAUCUGCAACAAAUGAGAGGAAGCAACACACAACAGAGCUGAAGAUUCAGAGCCUCUCUCCCAGCUGACUUGGGUGUGUACUAGUACACUGCCUCUAGAUUUUUACAACCGCAUGCAUACAAUCCACAGGGCAAACCACUUCAAUAGAACAUGGCUGGCAGCCAUAUGGUCACAUAUGAAUCCAACAGUUAAUUUAGCAAAGAAAACUGCUUGUAACAAGUUUUGAAUAUGUUAUCCCAGGUAGUACUUUGUUGACAAAUGAGAUGAUUGCCCAGAAAAUGAUAGUAACAUUUGUAAAAAGAUUGUCACCUCCCCGGAUGGUUCCUUCAGCUCUAACAUUUGUAGGAUCAAAGCUGUAACCAUCCAGUCAUCACUCUUCACAUGCAGAGCACACACAUGGGUUUGGAACCAAUUGAGAGAUGCAGCCAAGAAUCAAGCACUUGAAGAUCAAAGUGAUGGCUUUGUAACUGACAAAGCCUGGGUUGGAGAACACAGCUUAGAUAAAGCACAGAAGAUUCAAGCUGCCUCCGGUCUUAAGAAGUUAACAUGGAAUUUGGCUGUUUCAAAAAUUAAAAUCUGCUUACAAAAAUUAGUCUCCA